rnacentral:rRNA from 1 species
AUGAACGCUGGCGGCGUGCCUAAUACAUGCAAGUCGAGCGAACGGACGAGAAGCUUGCUUCUCUGAUGUUAGCGGCGGACGGGUGAGUAACACGUGGAUAACCUACCUAUAAGACUGGGAUAACUUCGGGAAACCGGAGCUAAUACCGGAUAAUAUUUUGAACCGCAUGGUUCAAAAGUGAAAGACGGUCUUGCUGUCACUUAUAGAUGGAUCCGCGCUGCAUUAGCUAGUUGGUAAGGUAACGGCUUAACAAGGCAACGAUGCAUAGCCGACCUGAGAGGGUGAUCGGCCACACUGGAACUGAGACACGGUCCAGACUCCUACGGGAGGCAGCAGUAGGGAAUCUUCCGCAAUGGGCGAAAGCCUGACGGAGCAACGCCGCGUGAGUGAUGAAGGUCUUCGGAUCGUAAAACUCUGUUAUUAGGGAAGAACAUAUGUGUAAGUAGCUGUGCACAUCUUGACGGUACCUAAUCAGAAAGCCACGGCUAACUACGUG